CAUAGGCCCACAACUCCUAUUGCAAAUCAUAGAAAAUUUGUUUUUGGUUCACAAAAGGAGGUACAAAGAGUAAAGAAGUACAAACUGCAACAAGACAGCACAGUACAGAAAAUCACAGCUCAGCCCAAAGCAAUACAUCAGAAAAUUAUGACAAAAUGGAAACACGUCGGAAGCAUAUCAAAAAUUACAAACGUAUCAGAGCCCACAAAGAUCUUCCCCAAACUUGCAACGUACGAAUCCAGGCACAACAUCAAAGCAUUUAGUAAAAACAUCAAGUUAGGAAUCACAUUCCAUAACAUGUUCACAUCUCACAAAUUUAACAAAGCGGAAAAUCAGAAGCCCAACGGAGAAUUUCAGUCAAGGCCUAUUAUCAAUACAACCAAAACCCGAAAUCCCUAG